rnacentral:rRNA from 1 species
AUUGAACGCUGGCGGCAUGCUUUACACAUGCAAGUCGAACGGUAACAGGCCGCAAGGUGCUGACGAGUGGCGAACGGGUGAGUAAUGCAUCGGAACGUGCCCAGUCGUGGGGGAUAACUGCUCGAAAGAGCAGCUAAUACCGCAUACGAUCUAUGGAUGAAAGCGGGGGACCGUAAGGCCUCGCGCGAUUGGAGCGGCUGAUGUCAGAAUGAGGGAGGUGGUGGGGUAAAGGCUCACCAAGCCAACGAUCUGUAGCUGGUCUGAGAGGGCGACCAGCCACACUGGGACUGGGAACCGGCCCAGACUCCUACGGGGGGCAGCAGUGGGGAAUUUUGGACAAUGGGGGCAACCCUGAUCCAGCAAUGCCGCGUGCAGGAUGAAGGCCUUCGGGUUGUAAACUGCUUUUGUACGGAGCGAAAAGGCUCUCUCUAAUACAGGGGGCUCAUGACGGUACCGUAAGAAUAAGCACCGGCUAACUACGUGCCAGCAGCCGCCGCCGUAA